CAUCCCGCCGGCCCGGGCCCGGGCCCCGGCCCCGCGCCGGGCCCCGGCCCCAGACCCUUGCCCGGCCGGGCGAUGAAGUGUCACUACGAAGCGCUGGGGGUGCGGCGCGAUGCCAGCGAGGAGGAGCUCAAGAAGGCCUAUCGGAAGCUGGCCCUGAAAUGGCACCCGGAUAAAAACCUGGAUAAUGCAGCAGAAGCAGCAGAACAGUUUAAAUUAAUCCAAGCAGCAUAUGACGUGUUGAGUGACCCUCAGGAAAGAGCCUGGUAUGAUAAUCACAGAGAGGCUCUACUUAAAGGUGGGCUUGAUGGGGAAUAUCAAGACGACAGCUUAGAUUUGCUUCACUAUUUCACUGUGACCUGUUACUCUGGUUAUGGUGAUGAUGAAAAGGGCUUUUAUACAGUUUAUCGUAACGUUUUUGAAAUGAUUGCGAAGGAAGAACUAGAGUCCGUGUUAGAAGAGGAGAUGGAGGAUUUCCCCACUUUCGGAGACUCCCAGAGCGACUACGAUACGGUGGUCCAUCCUUUCUAUGCCUAUUGGCAGAGCUUCUGCACUCAGAAGAACUUCGCCUGGAAGGAAGAAUACGACACGCGACAAGCUUCAAAUCGCUGGGAGAAACGAGCCAUGGAGAAGGAAAACAAAAAGAUCCGUGACAAAGCGAGAAAGGAGAAGAAUGAGCUUGUGCGCCAGCUCGUGGCCUUCAUCCGUAAGAGAGACCGAAGAGUUCAGGCGCACCGGAAGCUGGUGGAGGAACAGAACGCCCAGAAGGCCAGGAAGGCGGAGGAGAUGAGGCGGCAGCAGAAGCUGAAGCAGGCCAACCUGGCAGAGCAGUACAAGGAGCAGAGCUGGAUGACUGUGGCCGACCUGGAGAAGGAGCUCAAGGAGAUGGAGGCGCGCUACGAGAAGGAGUUUGGAGAUGGGUCCGAUGAGGCGGAGACGGAGGCACCUGAGCUCCGAGACGCGAACGACGGAAAAGACAGUGACGAAGCUGAGGACGCUGAGCUGUACGAUGACCUUUACUGCCCAGCGUGUGACAAAUCUUUCAAGACGGAAAAGGCCAUGAGGAAUCAUGAAAAAUCAAAGAAGCAUCGGGAAAUGGUUGCCUUGUUAAAACAGCAGUUGGAGGAGGAGGAAGAAAAUUUUUCAGGACCUCAAACUGAUGAAAAUCCAUUGAAUGCCAAUUCUGAGGAAGAAAUAGAAGAUGCACCAAAACAAAAGCUUUCUAAAAAGCAGAAGAAAAAGAAACAGAAGCCAGCACAGAAUUAUGAUGAUAAUUUCAAUGAAAAUGGAACUGGAGAAGAAGUAAAGGUUGAAUCAGAAGAUACCAACUUAAAUCAAGACCGUGCCAAAGAAUUGGAUGGUAGUCCCCAAGAAAGUGUCAGUGUCACUGAGACUGCCGAACUCUGUGAUGAUCCAAAAAGUGAAGCUAAGAAUGUUCCUAGACCCAAAGGAAAGAAAACCAAAGAUACGAAAAAAUCUGUCAAAGUACCUGCUGAACCACAGACAGUGAGUGAUGUUCUUAUCAGCUGUGCAACCUGCCAUAGUGAAUUUCCAUCCCGGAAUAAACUUUUUGACCAUCUGAAGGCCACAGGUCAUGCAAGAGCACCUUCGUCAUGUUCUUUAAACAGUGUAACAAGUAGUCGAAGCAAGAAAGAAAAACGUAAAAACAGAUAGAAAUUCUGCCAACGCUUUUUCUUUUUGAUUGUCUCUAGAUUUUGAAACCAAAAACUGAACUGAAGUCAUCUAAAGAGUUAAAAUUUCGGUGAUCUGCAAUUAUUGCAUUGUGGAAGAUUAUUUUUUAUCUUGUAAAAACAUUUUUUUGUUUAAUAUAUAUUUUUUAAACAUUUCAUUAGUGAUUGAAUCUGCCAUCUGAAUUGACUUGAAUGUCUCAAAACAGCUCAAUGAAAUUAAGGAUUCUCAUAUCAGCUUCUGCAAUCAAUCUGUUGCUCUGUGUUUGAUUAAAGUAUAUGAAGAAAAUGGAGCCUCGCCUGGAUUGGCAGAAGGCAAAAAGUCUCCAAGAUCAAGGUCGAAUGUUGGUGAGGAUGAAGAAACGAGAACACGUUCAUUUCUUUUGGAGUAAAAUGGAUUGAAUUUGAUGAUGUCUGUGAAAGCUGAAGGCAGGUGUAGCCCCUGACCGUAGGCUCUGUGACCCUAGGCACAUGCCUAGUCUCGCUUCCCGGUGCCCGCAGAGCAGCACGGCCUUGCCCUGGGAACUCUCUCCUGAAGGCGGCGCUCAGGUCCCACCCCGGAUGUGCCCAGUGAGAGUCUGUGGUUGAGAUUUCUUUGGCAACUGACUUGCUCCUUAAAGCUUGAGAAGCAGUACUGUCCAGAGCCCACGCCCUUGCGAACAAGGCUGCUUAUUAUUACAUAUGGAUGCUCGCAGCUGAAUUGUUUGUAUCUGGGAAAGGCGGGAAAUAGCCUAAGCGUCCAUGAACAAGAAAAUGGAGCAACUAGGGCCUAUUUUAAGAUGGCAAACAAUUGAACAGUUAAAGUGAGUGAACUUGAUCCGUAAUAUUCAGUGAUAGCCAUUGGGGGGAAAAUACUGAAUGAAAAUAGUAUGUUGGAAGAUGAAAUGAAUGCCAUUUUUAAGUUUUUAAAAAUACUGUUGUUAUUCGUGAAGAGAAAGUACAGCAACCUCCCUGGGAAACAUUGUUCAGAGAGUGAUUGCCUCUGGAAAGGGAGGGAGAGGAACGGAAGUGGGACGUGGUGGCAGGGACGGCCUCAUCGAAUGGAGUCCACUUGUCUGUAAGAUCCGAAGGAAAAUGAGCGUUUGUUUGUUCAUUCUGGAUGGUGGGUAGUGAGGGUUUGUUACUGGCUUUCAGGAAAUCCUCGAACAUCCAGAGAAAUACGAGUUAAUGUUUCCCUUCUUGCCAGCAAGAUACACCCUCACAAAAGGGAAGACAAAGGGUUUAAGAUGUACAUUUUAUUCCUGGCCUGUUCCGUAAGCACACGGUGGCAGAGGCCAUUACUAGUGUCUCAGUCCCCUUCUUCCCUCAACUCUGAUCUCUAGCUGGGCACAAAGCCACUUAGAAUGCGAUUACCUUCCCAGCUGUCCUGGCAGCAAGGUGUCCUUUCUGGCCAGUGACUUGAGCGACUUUUGGGACAUGUCCUUCAAGAUGGAGGACGUCCUUCUUCCUCCCUCUGGCUGGCUUACCCGAAGAGGUAGUGGCUGGAACUCUAGCCCCGUCUCCCAGCGAGUCUCCCAGGGCCGAGCCACAAGAGCCCAGCAGCGUCCGUCCUUCACACAUCGGAGGGACCCUGCAGGCCCUGGACCAGGGAAACCAAACUCCCGCGUUACCGAAGCCUCUGUUGUUCUGUGCUUUGGGUCACAGGUGACUCGAGCCCUGACUGAUGGAGCGUGUGCACAGUUACCCGAACGGGAGGUACGGCUUCAACGGUGCCAAGGACAUGGGCUCUGAACUCUGAGAUCUUAGAUGACAUUCCAGUGCCAGCAUUAACUAGACGAACUUGGGCAGGUCAUUCAAACUCUUUAAGCCUUUUUUCUUUCUCUUAAUCUGUAAAACGGGUGUUUGGGUGGCUCAGUGGGUGAAGUGUCUGCCUGUGGCUUAGGUCAUGAUCCCAGCGUCCUGGGAUGGAGGUCUGAGUUGGGCUCCCUGCUCAGUGAGGAGCCUGCUUUUCCCUCUCCCCCUGCUCGUGCUCUCUGUCUCUCCCUCUAAUAAAAUCUUUACCAAAAAAAAAAAAAAACAAAACAAAACUGUAAAAUCGGGAUGAGACCAACCUUGCAGAAAUGUAAAGGUUAAGGCUUUCAGGUGUGAGCACCGUGCCCGCACAUAGUAGAUAUUCAGUAACUGAGCUUUCACUUACUUUCAGUCAUCUCUUCUGCUAGGAAUUUUCUUACUUCAACUGUUCACUUUGAUUUCUGAAAUCAUCCAAACAGUGAAGUGAUGAUGUGGAGAGAAAUCCACGGUUAUAUUGAACUACAGUGUAUUAAAAAAGAGAAGUACCAUUUGUAUAUGUUAAAAUUCUUUCUGGCCUAACUGGAACAAAACUUUUGCAGGCUGAAGCUGAAAAUAUGCUAUUUCAGUGUGGUGGUAUGACGCCAAUGGAAACUUUCAAAGAUCAGUGAUCUUAAUUAUGUUAGAAGGCUCAGCGCAUUUGUACACGUAAUUACUUUGCCAUUAAAGCCACUCAGGGCCCCAACAUCAUUAAUGUCCUUUCAGAUACAAAUGCCUUCUGAAAAUAGAAAAGGCUCAAAUUAUCCUUUGCAGUACAGAUCAUUUAAAUGUCACUUAGAGAAAGCUUCUAAUGAUUUCUGAAAAUGAAAAGAUCAUGGUAUCUCUUAGCAUUUGGAUAACAUGGUAUAUAGUUUAUAUAAUCUCUCCAGGUACUUUUAUUCAGAUUUAAUAAGAACUCCUACUUCUGUGAGUCCCAAGGUAACAGUAGUCUCAGCACGUAAUGAAGCAGACUUUCCAACAGAAUUUGCUGUCAGAAAUGCCGAGGAGGAUGCCUGCAGCAGCGGGGAGGUGCCCCAGUGACGAGUGACAGCGGGGGCCUGGGCUGGGAAUCCCCACCUGCAGGCAGCCUGUCCCAGUCAUCGGCUCGCUCUGAAUAAGCAACUUUGUGUUUAGGACACCUCUGGUUGGCACUAAUUUUACUGUUCUUGAUUCCAGAAGUGACACUUGUUCUAACCUGCCAGCCCACUAGCUGGGAAGUACUUUCUGAAUGUCUUAGACGUCGUGCUCUUGCUUGGCAAGACUGCCGGGGACAAGUUGUCCUAUUUCUGUUCUGGAGUUGAAUCUUCACUUUUCUCAGAAAGGAGCAACAGUCUUUCAAAGAGUGAUUUUGCGUGCGUUUGAAGCUUGUGCUUUACCCAUAGAAUUAGGAAAUGCUAUUUGCAAAA